rnacentral:rRNA from 1 species
UGGGCGUAAGGGCUCGCAGGCGGUUUCUUAAGUCUGAUGUGAAAGCCCCCGGCUCAACCGGGGAGGGUCAUUGGAAACUGGGGAACUUGAGUGCAGAAGAGGAGAGUGGAAUUCCACGUGUAGCGGUGAAAUGCGUAGAGAUGUGGAGGAACACCAGUGGCGAAGGCGACUCUCUGGUCUGUAACUGACGCUGAGGAGCGAAAGCGUGGGGAGCGAACAGGAUUAGAUACCCUGGUAGUCCACGCCGUAAACGAUGAGUGCUAAGUGUUAGGGGGUUUCCGCCCCUUAGUGCUGCAGCUAACGCAUUAAGCACUCCGCCUGGGGAGUACGGUCGCAAGACUGAAACUCAAAGGAAUUGACGGGGGCCCGCACAAGCGGUGGAGCAUGUGGUUUAAUUCGAAGCAACGCGAAGAACCUUACCAGGUCUUGACAUCCUCUGACAAUCCUAGAGAUAGGACGUCCCCUUCGGGGGCAGAGUGACAGGUGGUGCAUGGUUGUCGUCAGCUCGUGUCGUGAGAUGUUGGGUUAAGUCCCGCAACGAGCGCAACCCUUGAUCUUAGUUGCCAGCAUUCAGUUGGGCACUCUAAGGUGACUGCCGGUGACAAACCGGA